AUACGGAGGAUCCAAGCGUUAUCCGGAAUCAUUGGGUUUAAAGGGUCCGUAGGUGGACGAUUAAGUCAGGGGUGAAAUCUUGCAGCUCAACUGUAAAAUUGCCCUUGAUACUGGUUGUCUUGAAUCAUUGUGAAGUGGUUAGAAUAUGUAGUGUAGCGGUGAAAUGCAUAGAUAUUACAUAGAAUACCGAUUGCGAAGGCAGAUCACUAACGGUGCAUUGACACUGAUGGACGAAAGCGUGGGGAGC
rnacentral:rRNA from 1 species